GGGCGGUUAGCUCAGUAGGUAUAGAGCGCACGCUUCACAUGCGUGAGGUCGCAGGUUCAAGUCCUGCACCGCCCA
rnacentral:tRNA from 1 species